CGUCUCUGCCACCAGUCGGUGAGUGUAAUUUGCUGACGGUCCCUAAAACAGGUAGCAGUCAGAACGUAAAUGACGUUGUUGCACAGACAUCGAUGGCGCCAACAUGUGUUUGUGAUUUUUCGCGAUACGGUGUCCUAAACCGUCCUCAACAUACUAAGCCCUAUGGAAGGGGAGAUUUGGAGGUACCUGGUCAGGUCUUUGUCAGCCUUCAAAUCCCAGAUGUGGAGACUGCAGGGAUACCUCACAGAGAAGACACUAAAGAGCCACCUCUCAUUCAUCGAGUGGACUCAUUGGUUUGCGAAUGACCACAAAGAUGCUCCCAUAGGCAGAUUGCUGCAUGGCAUUCACCACUUAUUCAAAUUGAAGAGGUUGAAGCAGUCUUCCUUGUGGUCACUUGCCAUAACACUGUCAUGUGUUUUAUGAAAACACCAUCAGUAACAUUUAAAUUGAGUUGAUGUGGACGGCUCUUUUUUUUGUCAGAUUUUUUCAGUGUUCAGUGCCUGUUUGUGAGAUAUGCAUUGUUUGAAAGAUAAGCCUUUGAUUUUGUUUAAUUUUAAUAUGCCUUUCAUCAACAGUGGUUUGGGGUUUUAUAACAACAAUUAAAGUGCUUAACUACUGGUGAA